rnacentral:rRNA from 2 species
ACGGGGAGCAGAACUAACAGGAUUCCCUUAGUAAUGGCGAAUGAACAGGGAUAAGCUCAACUUUAAAAUCCAGCAAUGGAGUUGUAGUCUAGAAAGGACCAAUCAAGAGGCAGCUUAUUAGGAAGUCAGUCUGGAAAGACUCUACAAAGAGGGUGAUAUACCCGUACCAAAUAAGCUAGGCUUGAGAAUUGGACCUUGAAGAGUCAGGUUGCUUGGGACUGCAGCCUAAAAUGGGAGGUAAAUUUCUUCUAAAGCUAAAUACAGGCAAGAGACCGAUAGCGAACAAGUACCGUGAGGGAAAGAUGAAAUAGAACCUUGAAAAGGGGUUUAAAAGGAAGUGAAAUUGUUAAAAGGGAAACACUUGAAGGUCGAGAUAGGUGAAUUGGAAAUGGCUUAUUCUUAAGCUGUGCUCCAAUCACCAGCGGUUAACGAAUGUUUUGGAUAAUGGAGAAGGGUAUUAUGAAGGUAGGUUGGGGUCAAACCUAACAACUUAUAGCAUAAUAUGCUUACAUUAUCARGGACAUUUAGAAUCAACUACUUGGUAGAAUCAAAUUAUUUUGGUAGAAUGGCAGUUUUCGGACUCUCAUUCUAUUCAAAAUGAUCACAUUCUAUCAAGGAAUGAUUCGAGUUUGACCAAGAGAUCUUCAAGUGACCCGUCUUGAAACACGGACCAAGGAGUCUAACAUGUUUGCGAGUAUUUGGAACGUAAAUCCAUAUGCGAAAUGAAAGUGAGUUCAAGGUAGGAUCCAUUAGGAGCACUAUCAACCGAUCCAUUGGGUUUCGAUCCAAGGAAUUGAGUCAGAGCGAAUAUGUUGGGGCCCGAAAGAUGGUGAACUAUGCCUGAAUAGGGAGAAGCCAGAGGAAACUCUGGUGGAAGCUCGUAGCGAUUCUGACGUGCAAAUCGAUCGUCUAAUUUGGGUAUAGGGCGAAAGACUAAUCGAACCAUCCAGUGGCC